CCCUUAGAUGUUCUGGGCCGCACGCGCGCUACACUGACGAUGGCAACGAGUUUUUCCUUCGCCGAAAGGUGUGGGUAAUCUUUUGAAACAUCGUCGUGCUGGGGAUAGAUCAUUGCAAUUUUUGAUCUUGAACGAGGAAUUCCUAGUAAGCGCGAGUCAUUAGCUCGCGUUGAUUACGUCCCUGCCCUUUGUACACACCGCCCGUCGCUACUACCGAUUGAAUGGUUUAGUGAGGACUCCUGAUUGGCGCCGCCGCCCCGGCAACGGAGCAGCGGACUGCCGAAAAGUUGUUCAAACUUGAUCAUUUAGAGGAAGUAAAAGUCGUAACA
rnacentral:rRNA from 1 species